rnacentral:rRNA from 1 species
GACGUAGGGCGCGAGCGUUGUCCGGAUUUAUUGGGCGUAAAGAGCUCGUAGGCGGCUUGUCGCGUCGACUGUGAAAUCCCGAGGCUCAACUUCGGACUUGCAGUGGGUACGGGCAGACUAGAGUGUGGUAGGGGAGACUGGAAUUCCUGGUGUAGCGGUGAAAUGCGCAGAUAUCAGGAGGAACACCGGUGGCGAAGGCGGGUCUCUGGGCAGUAACUGACGCUGGAGGAGCGAAAAGCGUGGGAGCGAACAGG